rnacentral:misc_RNA from 1 species
GUGAGACUUCCAUUACACUUCCUGUUAAUGAGCUUGACACUUGAAGCCCAGAAACCCACAUUGUAUAUUUGAUAACAUCUCCUGCUUAUUCCAUUUCAACACACAUUCAAAGCACCUUAGUUUGGAAGCCAAAGUGAGGCUUGAACACCCUUGGUGUAAUUUCUCUUGCCACAACUACAUUCUUACUGUAUUCAUUUCACAAUUAAUGGAACAUUAUACUCUCUUCCACUCUCUUUUACCAUUAAAUUUUGGUGUUUAUCUUUCCUGCUGCAAAUAUGUUCUCUUCUACAUUUCUCAUUUCAAUAACUUAAGCAACUCAAAAGGUUUAAUUUCAUAAAAUUGCUAAAGAAAUGCCCAUGACGCCACAAUUGCUUAAUUCUCCCAAUGACCAUCUAGACUACUCUAAAAUCAAUUCACUCAGUAACAAACCCAAUCUCCCUCCACUAUCGAAACUCACCUUCGAGACCACAAUUAGGCAUCUCAAUAAUCCUUAAACCCUACCAAAGGUUCUAUAGCUCAGAAUUCUCAUAAUUGACUGUAAUAAUGAUAACUCUUACCAGCUUCCACAUCUACAUUUUCCCCACUAGACAGGUUAGCAACCCCUGAAAACAAACUCUCUAAAUCAUCCUCUCCACUUACUAAAAGUCCUCCAAAACUCCAAUCUUUCUCUGCUGCAAUCAUCUUAACCACUACAGAGGUUUACAAAAGAAAAUUUGUGUUAAUGAUUUUUAACGACCACAAAUGAGAACACAUCACAUUUCGUUCCUCUUUCUAUUCAAUUAACUCCAAUUUCUCCCAAGUCAACAACCAAACAAAUAAUAAACUAAUAAACCUAAAAAUUCAACAUUCAAAAAACCACUAAAUUGAAAACCUAAUUAAAGCUUAAAAAAGAAAGCCAAAA